rnacentral:rRNA from 1 species
AUUGAACGCUGACGGCAGGCCUAACACAUGCAAGUCGAGCGGAUGAGAGGAGCUUGCUUCUCGAUUCAGCGGCGGACGGGUGAGUAAUGCCUAGGAAUCUGCCUGAUAGUGGGGGACAACGUUUCGAAAGGAACGCUAAUACCGCAUACGUCCUACGGGAGAAAGCAGGGGACCUUCGGGCCUUGCGCUAUCAGAUGAGCCUAGGUCGGAUUAGCUAGUUGGUGAGGUAAUGGCUCACCAAGGCGACGAUCCGUAACUGGUCUGAGAGGAUGGUCAGUCACACUGGAACUGAGACACGGUCCAGACUCCUACGGGAGGCAGCAGUGGGGAAUAUUGGACAAUGGGCGAAAGCCUGAUCCAGCCAUGCCGCGUGUGUGAAGAAGGUCUUCGGAUUGUAAAGCACUUUAAGUUGGGAGGAAGGGUUGUAGAUUAAUACUCUGCAAUUUUGACGUUACCGACAGAAUAAGCACCGGCUAACUCUGUGCCAGCCGCCGCAGUAAGAC